rnacentral:rRNA from 1 species
GACGAACGCUGGCGGCGUGCUUAACACAUGCAAGUCGAACGGAAAGGCCCUGCUUGCAGGGUGCGCGAGUGGCGAACGGGUGAGUCACACGUGGAACAUCUGCCCCUUACUUUGGGAUAAGCAUGGGAAACGGGGUCUAAUACUAGAUAGGACCCUGCUGCAGGUGGGGUGGUGGAAAGAUUAGUUUCGGUGGGGGGUGAGCUCGCGGCCUAUCAGCGUGUUGGUGGGGUGGUGGCCUACAAGGGCGUCGACGGGGGGCCCGCCUGAGAGGGGGUGAGGCGCCAUUUUGACUCUGAGACGGCGCAGAGUCCUACGGGAGGCAGCAGUGGGGAAUAUUGCACAAUGUGCGCAAGCCUCAUGCAGCGACGCCGCGUGGGGGAUGUCGGCCUUCUGGUUGUAAACUCCGUUCAGCCAUGACGCAGCGCUUGUGGUGACGGUAGUGGUAGAAGAAGCACCGGCUAACUACGUG